GGGAAUAGCUUGUCGAAGUAUUCGAGGGAGUCAGAGGAGGCAAAUCCCUUCUGACAUAAUCCUGAGGUACGAAAAUACCUGAGUUCACGCUGCCAAGAAAAGCCUCUAAGGAGCUGUCAUACUGCCCGUACCGCAAACCGACACAGGUAGAUGAGGAGAGAAUCCUAAGACCAUCGGAAGAAUUGUUGUUAAGGAACUCGGCAAAUCAACCCCGUAAGUUCGCGAGAAGGGGUGCCAUGGCAACAUGGCCGCAGUGAAAUGGCCCAAGCAACUGUUUAACAAAAACACAGGUCUCUGCAAAAGCGCAAGCUGAAGUAUAGGGGCUGACGCCUGCCCGGUGCUGGAAGGUUAAGGGGAAUGCUUAGCGCAAGCGAGGGUAUGAACUUAAGCCCCAGUAAACGGCGGCCGUAACGAUAACGGUCCUAAGGUAGCGAAAUUCCUUGUCAGGUAAGUUCUGACCCGCACGAAUGGCGUAAUGACUUGGGCACUGUCUCAACAACAAAUCCGGCGAAAUUGUAGUGCCAGUGAAGAUGCUGGCUACCCGCGAUUGGACGGAAAGACCCCGUAGAGCCUUACUGUAGCUUAGCAUUGAGUUUCGAUAAUUACUGUACAGGAUAGGUGGGAGACUAGGAGCUAUGAUCGUCAGGUCAUAGGGAGUCACCGUUGGGAUACCACCCUGUAGCUAUUGGGAUUCUAACCGGAGGCCAGGAAACGGGUCACGGGACAUUGCUAGGUGGGCAGUUUGACUGGGGCGGUCGCCUCCUAAAAAGUAACGGAGGCGCUCAAAGGUUCCCUCAGGACGGUCGGAAAUCGUCCAUAGAGUGCAAAGGCAGAAGGGAGCCUGACUGCGACACCUACAAGUGGAGCAGGGACGAAAGUCGGACUUAGUGAUCCGGUGGUACCUCGUGGGAGGGCCAUCGCUCAACGGAUAAAAGCUACCUCGGGGAUAACAGGCUGAUCUCCCCCAAGAGUUCACAUCGACGGGGAGGUUUGGCACCUCGAUGUCGGCUCGUCACAUCCUGGGGCUGAAGUAGGUCCCAAGGGUUGGGCUGUUCGCCCAUUAAAGUGGCACGCGAGCUGGGUUCAGAACGUCGUGAGACAGUUCGGUCCCUAUCCGUCGCGGGCGUAGGAAAUUUGAAGGGAGCUGACCUUAGUACGAGAGGACCGGGUUGGACCAAUCACUGGUGUAUCAGUUGUCGCGCCAGCGGCAUGGCUGAGUAGCUAAAUUGGGACGGGAUAAACGCUGAAAGCAUCUAAGCGUGAAGCCCACCUUAAGACUUGAUUUCCCAUGGAGUAAUCCAGUAAGAUCCCUUGAAGAACAAUGUAGAUAGGUGAGGGGUGUAAGUGCAGCAAUGCAUGCAGCUGACUCAUACUAAUAGAUCGAGGGCUUGAUCU
rnacentral:rRNA from 1 species